CNNNCNUGGCGGNGNGNAUUAGGCAUGCAAGUCGAACGGGAUCUCUUAAAUCGAUUCUUCGGAUGACGUUUUUGAGUGAGAGUGGCGAACUGGUGAGGAACACGUGGGUAAUUUGCCCUUAAGUUCGGAAUAGCCCUUCGAAAGGAGGAGUAAUACCGAAUGUGGUCGUCCCGCUCCUGCGGGACUGUCUAAAGGUGGGGAUCUUCGGACCUGCCGCUUAGGGAUAAGCCCGCGCCCUAUCAGCUUGUUGGUGAGGUAAUGGCUCACCAAGGCGUAGACGGGUAGCUGGUCUGAGAGGAUGAUCAGCCACACUGGGACUGAGACACUGCCCAGACUCCUACGGGAGGCUGCAGUCGAGAAUCAUUCGCAAUGCACGAAAGUGUGACGAUGCGACGCCGCGUGGAGGAUGACGGCCUUCGGGUUGUAAACUCCUGUCAUGAGGGAAGAAUGUCCGGCCGGUGAAUACCCGGUCGGAGUGACGGUACCUCAAGAGGAAGCCACGGCUAACUCUGUGCCAGCAGCCGCGGUAAUACAGAGGUGGCGAGCGUUGUUCGGAUUUACUGGGCGUAAAGGGUGCGUAGGCGGUAUGGUAUGUCGGAUGUGAAAUCUCACCGUCCAACGGUGAAACUGCAUUCGAAACUGCCGUACUAGAGUACAGGAGGGGAGAGCGGAAUUCUUGGUGUAGCGGUGAAAUGCGUAGAUAUCAAGAAGAACGCCGGCGGCGAAGGCGGCUCUCUGGACUGAUACUGACGCUGAGGCACGAAAGCUGGGGUAGCGAAGAGGAUUAGAUACCCUCGUAGUCCCAGCCGUAAACGGUGUGCACUUGGUGUGGGCGGCUUUGUCCCCGUCCGUGCCGGAGCUAACGCGUUAAGUGCACCGCCUGGGGAGUACGGCCGCAA
rnacentral:rRNA from 1 species